CGGCAACAGCUCAAAUUUGAAAUCUGGCCCCCCGGCCCGAGUUGUAAUUUGGAGAGGAUGCUUCUGGCGCGGCGCCGUCCGAGUUCCUUGGAACAGGACGCCAUAGAGGGUGAGAGCCCCGUACGGACGGACGCCUAGCCUCUACGAAGCUCCUUCGAC
rnacentral:rRNA from 1 species